GAUGAAGAACGUAGCGAAAUGCGAUAAGUAGUGUGAAUUGCAGAAUUCCGUGAAUCAUCGAAUCUUUGAACGCACAUUGCGCCUUCUGGUAUUCCGGAAGGCAUGCCUGUUCGAGAGUCAUUAACAACCGUUUCGAUCCCUUUCUUUCAGAAAUUACAAAGAGGAAAAGGGUUUGGUUAUGGUGGAGGAGGGAAAGGGAGCGUUUAGCCUGUAAAAAAAGAGGCUGUGUUCCGCCUCCCCCCCAAAAUUGUACAGGCGGUCGUGUGCGCCCACGCAUCGAGGUGUUGUAAAAGCUGCCACGGCACUUUUCACCUGUGCAGUGCGAGAUUGGCCAGCCGGUUUAAAAACCCCACCAAACAAUCAAAGGUUGACCUCGGAUCAGGUAGGGAUACCCGCUGAACUUAAGCAUAUCAAUAAGCGGAGGA
rnacentral:misc_RNA from 1 species